AUUGAACGCUGGCGGCAGGCCUAACACAUGCAAGUCGAGCGGAUGAAGGGAGCUUGCGCCUGGAUUCAGCGGCGGACGGGUGAGUAAGUCCUAGGAAGCUGCCUGGCAGUGGAGGCUAACGUACCGUAACGGGCGCUAAUACCGCAUACGUCCUGAGGGAGAAAGUGGGGGAUCUUCGGACCUCACGCUAUCAGAUGAGCCUAGGUCGGAUUAGCUAGUUGGUGGGGUAACGGCGUGCCAAGGCGACGAUCCGUAACUGGACUGAGAGGAUGACCAGUCACACUGGAACUGAGACACGGUCCAGACUCCUACGGGAGGCAGCAGUGGGGAAUAUUGGACAAUGGGCGAAAGCCUGACGGAGCAAUGCCGCGUGAGUGAAGAAGGUCUUCGGAUUGUAAAGCACUGUAAGUUGGGAGGAAGGACAGUGAGUGAAUCUCUUGCUGUUUUGACGUUACCAACAGAAUAAGCACCGGCUAACUACGUG
rnacentral:rRNA from 1 species